UGGGGUGUAGCUCAUAUGGUAGAGCGCUCGCUUUGCAUGCGAGAGGCUCGGGGUUCAAUUUCCCGCACCUCCA
rfam:Zea mays cultivar B73 chromosome 4, whole genome shotgun sequence.